CAGACGAUGCGUCAUGCAUAUCAAUAAGCGGAGGAAAAGAAACUAACAAGGAUUCCCCUAGUAACGGCGAGUGAAGCGGGAAGAGCUCAAAUUUGAAAUCUUAAAGGGUUUCCCUUUACGAAUUGUAGUUUAAAGAAGUGUUUUCUGUUGAGGUUUUGGUAAAAGUUCUUUGGAAUAGGACAUCAUAGAGGGUGAGAAUCCCGUAUUUGACCUUUACUUUCAACUUUGUGAUACACUUUCAAAGAGUCGGAUUGUUUGGGAAUGCAGUCCAAAAUGGGUGGUAAAUUUCAUCUAAAGCUAAAUAUUGGCGAGAGACCGAUAGCGAACAAGUACCGUGAGGGAAAGAUGAAAAGAACUUUGAAAAGAGAGUUAAACAGUACGUGAAAUUGUCAAAAGGGAAGCGUUUGACACCAGUGUUGUUUUUCUGAAAAUCAAUUAAAGAACUGUUUAUGCUAAGCUGUUUAGACUUUAUCAGCUAUCUGUUUAGUUUUAGGCUUUUCUUUAAUGCACUUUUCAGUUAACAAGUCAACAUCAAUUUCUUUUGCUGUAAAAAAGCUUGAGGAAGGUGGCUUGAGAUUCGUCUUAAGUGUUUAUAGCCUCUUGCCUAUGCAGUCGGAGAGAUUGAGGUCUGCAGCGUAGAUCCUUCGGGCUAAAUGCAUUUGUGCUAAGUUAUAGCAUUUUAUAGACAACUUGUUGACUAUGAUUUGUCUUGUAGCUUACUCGCUUAUGUUAUUUUACCUACGCUUAGGAUGUUGACACACGCGCGUGCUCG
rnacentral:rRNA from 1 species